GGAAGAAAGCUUUGGUGUGGCUCUCCAGUGACAUCUCACCUUUUAUCUUUCUGGAAGAAGUUGAAGACUGUGGUUUCUUUUUUUUCGGAUUUCAACGUCUCUGCAGGCACAAAGUCAACAGUGGACAAUGGGAUUACCCUGAAAGCAGAGCCCCCCAGCUGCUAAUGGGUUCAUUCUGGCCAGUUGGGAACCGGCUCCUGUCCCUACCCUAUCCCCAGUGCAAUCACCAUGCAGACAGCAGGCUCACUGUCAAGCCCAGCAUAGCCCACAUUGACUACAAGGGGACUAAUCAGGGUAGACUGAGCAUUUGUGGAGAACAUUUCCUGGAUGUCACUUGCCUGGUUCCUGUUGUCUGUGCAAUAACAGCUUGAUUACCAGCAGCCCCUGAAGUACUUCAUCUAUUCUCUGGGCCAGGAAGGUCCCAGAGAGGUUCUGCUAGGACUUGACCCUAGUCAUCUGUUGCAGUAGAAGACUGAGCUGGAUUCUGGAGUAACCAUCUAUCGCUCGCUGUCUUUGAGAAGGAGGAAGACUGCAUAGGGGGCUGGGAAGCUUCCAGAGGGCUAGCCUAUAUGGGAGACUCAUUUUCCCAGUCAAAGGGCUGUAUUGCUUCUCCACUGGGAAUGUGGCCUUGGAGGUAAGAAUUAAGCCUUCCUGGAACUCCAUUCCCUGGGAAUUAAUUUCAUAUCUGAUUCUCAGCCAGCUCUGUUCUUUGACAGCAAGAGUCUGUGCUGUCAUGGAGGUCCUCAGCCUCUCUUUAGGCAUCCUCAACAGAAUGGGAAGAGUCCAAAGUCCUUUCAACUAGUGGAGAUGGUGCCCCCUGCUGGCUGCCUGGAGCAGUGGAACUGAGAAAGAGGACAAUGGCCAGGUCUUCCCAGAGAGGAGAGACGCCAGAGGUCCACACUUCCUGGCAGCCACGGGAGCAAGGGCUGUGAUCUGAAAGAGCAUCUGGUGACAUCUACAGCAUCUGCCAGGCCACUGUUCGAGCCCCUCACCCAUCUAGUCAGCUGACAUGUCUCGGGUAUCCUGAGGAGACAUCCAGGGUCCCAGCUGCUUCGUGGGAGCUUGCAUUCCGGACAGAUGAGACAGUACAGGUCAGGACACAGCCACGGCAGCUACUUGAGCAUCUGGUCAAAGCUGUCUAAGUGGGGCCACGAGGUCAGCAGGAAUGAAUGACAGGCUUAUGGGCAUGGAGGGUAUAGGUAUCCAGGCAAGAGAACUCCCGGUGGGCUUGGUUGAGGAGAAUGUGUAGAGUACUUGGAAGCCAGGAAGACUAUGAGCUCCCGUGGUGUCUGAGGCGCCUCAGGUCUUGGCAUUGGCCUGGGUCCAUCUUCUGAUCCUUGCCUGCCAAGAUUUCUCACUCCAGCAGAAAUCUUCAAGGUCACAGUGUCCUGAUGGACCUGUAUGCCUUGUCCUCGAUAAUUAUUUGGGAGGGCAAAUAGUUGCUUAGUUAAGCUGACUUUGUACACUGGUCGACUAGACUUUUCUGGUAAGUGUUGGCCUAGGACUUUAGCAGCAGACGGAUUUUGACCCUUUAUUUGAGAAAUAGGAUAAAAUGUCUUUGUCCCUCCCUCCCACAGAGCAGAGUGCUCUGUGAUCAUUAGUUUUAACUGUUUUCUGACACAAUCUACAGUUAUCUGGGAAGAGAGUGUUAGUGUGGAAUUGUUUAGAUCAGGUUAGUGAGUGUGGGGUUAUCUUUUUUCAUGACAACUGUCUUUUUAUUUAGUAAGAUUGUAACUGAAAUAUAAUUGCAUGACUUUCCCUCCUCCCUUUCCUCCCACUGGCCCUUAAUAUUUCCUCAAACCCUGCACAUGUUGCUCCUCUUCAAGUUGCUAGCCUAGUUUUUGGGGGGCGGGGUUGUUGACUUUUUUUAAAUCAAACUAAUAAAAUUUAUUUUAAAAUA